AGAGUUUGAUCAUGGCUCAGGAUAAACGCUGGCGGCAUGCCUAAUACAUGCAAGUCGAACGGGGUUAAUAGUGCUUGCACUAUUAACCUAGUGGCGAACGGGUGAGUAACACGUAGUUAACCUACCCAUUGGACUGGGACAACUUUUGGAAACGAAAGCUAAUACCGGAUAGGAAGCAAUUUUAAAGGAGCGUGUGCUCC
rnacentral:rRNA from 1 species